CUAUGUUUGUGAGAAAUCAACCCGCGGUCUUUCUUCUAUCUUAUCCAGACGUUCCUUUCCAGCGCGGCGGGGCGGCGCCCUUCACCGCGGCGACAGCUCCAGGUGGGCUCGCGGGAGACGGCGCUGGGCUUGGGAGAUGCGGCUGCGAGGGCUCCGCAUCAGGCAGCGACAGCGAGGCGGGGAUGCGGCGCUGCGCUUCCGGGAUGCAGCGGCGAGGCGUCGAGGCAGCGCUGCGCUUCCGGGAUGCAGCGGCGAGGCGUCGAGGCAGCGCUGCGCUCGGGCGCCACAUCAGGCGGCAGCAGCGAGGCGGGAGGCGCACACGGAGAUGAAGGAGGGGAAAAUGGAGAGUCGGCCGGGGCGAGGAGUUCGCCGACGUCGAAGCCACGGACCCCGGCGCUGCAAGCUUGCAGGGGGCGGUGGCCAUGGCCGGGAGGCGGCGCUGAGUUCGGGCGCCGCAUGCCUCCUCUGUCGCUCCUUGUUUCUUUAUUCCCCAACUCCUCUCUUGCACGUCGUCAUCUUGCCGCCCACGCAGCAAAGAGAUCGAGGAAGAGGCGAGAGUCGGGUCAAUCGAUAUGUCGCACGAGGGUGCGGCACUCCCUGUUCCAUCUAGAUCAACAAACGCAGAGGGAGGUGGAAGAAGAGCCACGACCUGCGAGCAGGAGGCUGCCUCCUAGCACGCAUCUGACUGCGGCUAUUUUAUCCAUGAGCGGGAGGUUAAGAGAAGCACAUCUCUGAAAUUCACAGUUUUGAACCCAAAGAGACGCAUCUAGACAAUGGUUGCAUCAGUGGUUCCAGUGUCAUAUACGCCAACAUGGUGGCCAAUCUUAUUGAGAAGAAUGACACAACAGCAGGCAGUGGAUCAGAGCCCAAACUCUCACUUGUUAGGAUAAAGGUGGACUACUCUGUGUUCUUAACAAUACACCCCCAACGGUUUGGUCAAAAGUAUGUUGAGAAGGUUGCCAAUCCACAAGUCAUUGUUGUUUUCUGAAGAUCAGCAAAAUGGCGCCAAAAUAUGCACGGUUAGCAAAACAAGAACUUCAAUUACUUUGUAAUGAUAAGGAAAAGUAACA